UUCAGCCUGGUUUAGAGGAGCCUUAGUAAGGCCGUUCGACUGGUUUGAAUGGCAGGCAUUACAGGAGUUUCUAAGGAAAACUGCCUCGUGUUCAAGUUGCACAUCCACCUGGCUGAGUGAACUACUUUGCAGAAAAUUAGUCAUACAAGUUUGCAAAUGCUCUCAAGUUUGCAAAGUCAGCUACAGGGUUGUGAUUUUUCAAUGGAAGUGUGGAUCAUGAGUA